rnacentral:rRNA from 1 species
UACGAAGGGGGCUAGCGUUGCUCGGAAUCACUGGGCGUAAAGGGUGCGUAGGCGGGUCUUUUAAGUCAGGGGUGAAAUCCUGGAGCUCAACUCCAGAACUGCCUUCGAUACUGAGAGUCUCGAGUCCGGGAGAGGUGAGUGGAACUGCGAGUGUAGAGGUGAAAUUCGUAGAUAUUCGCAAGAACACCAGUGGCGAAGGCGGCUCACUGGCCCGGUACUGACGCUGAGGUGCGAAAGCGUGGGGAGCAAACAGG